CCCUUAGAUGUUCUGGGCCGCACGCGCGCUACACUGAUGCAUUCAACGAGUUUCUUCCUGGUCCGAGAGGAAUGGGUAACCUUUUGAAAGUGCAUCGUGAUAGGGAUAGACUAUUGCAAUUAUUGGUCUUCAACGAGGAAUUCCUAGUAGACGUAGUUCAUCAGACUGCAUCGAUUACGUCCCUGCCCUUUGUACACACCGCCCGUCGCUCCUACCGAAUGAAUGCUCAGGUGAGCCAUUCGGACUUUCAUCAUGCUGGUUUCCAGUUUUGAUGAAGGAAAGUCUUGCGAACCUUAUCAUUUAGAGGAAGGAGAAGUCGUAACA
rnacentral:rRNA from 1 species